GGCUGCACAUGCCCGGGCCAUGUGACCCAGGCGGCCCGCGUGAGCCGGCACAAACACAGGGCCCUGUCCUCCGGUGGCUGCCUGGGAGGGCAGGCGGGAGGAGGGGACCCAGUGAAAGGGCACAGGACUCCCUUCUGCUUUCCUGGCCCAAUACCCUGCUCGGUUCCUUUGGUGUCCUCAGAGCCACAGGAGGGCAAACACCGGCAGGGGUGUUUGGGGUUCACACAGCCCAGAGCCCUGCUCCCCCAAAGAACAAGGGGGCUCUCGAAGCCAAGAGCACAGAACUCUGACCUUUGCCUGCGCUGACCUAGAGCCCAAAUUCGGUUUCACAUGGAUCCCUACAUUUGGGAGAGCCUGUCCCCUUCUUGUAAGAGUGUGUACCACACACAUGCAGCCACUGUCCACCCCUAGAGCAGAACAAAGAGAAUUCGGGGUGUGCGGGGGGGGGGGGUGUUAAGGGAGGCAGCCCCACCCCCUCAUUCGGCAGAGACUGGGAGAUCGCUGCACAGGAAAGGGAAGCGCUGCGUUCCAAGCGUCUGCGGUGCAGAGUGCGCCACGAUGUAGGGGACCCCCUAGCCCCAGCUCCCUCCUUGCAGCCCUCUGCCCUGGCCCUGCCUGUGACCUGGUUUCCCAGCCGCGGCGUCCCUCGCUGCAGUCAGGCGGACAGUAGGUUACCAGGAGCAGGCGCACCCUGAGCGUGCACGACCCACAUUCGCUCAGGCACCAAAACUUCGCAGGUCCUGCAUUGCGGAGGUAGGCUGAACCGCAGUGGGGCGGGGGCUGCUUUCUUUCCUGGGCCUCCUAGAGCCCUAGGCCCCCAUGAUGCCUGCCUGGGACUCACACUCACGAGGCUGGUCAUGAGCCUCUGGCCUUUCUGGGCAGCUGCGGAAAGAGCUGCAGGAACUCAAGGACCUGGUGUGAGAUGCAACAUGGGAGACUCAAGAACAGCAUGGGGCUGGGGCCCGGGAAUGUCCUCUGGCACCUGUGGCUCCAGUUACAGCGUAGCAAAGCACAGCCUGGAGACUUUGGCCUUGCACAUUCGGACUGGAACAGGAAGGCUGUGUCAGAAAAAAGGUCAUCCAGGGCUCAGUCUCGCAUCACAAGGGUGGUCCAUGCCUGUUCCCAAAUGCUGCCAUGUGUGGGUCUCAGACUGGAGACAGAGUCCUUGGGGUUAGUUCCCGAAGGCAUCUGGUGAUGAGGACAGUGGUGCACACCUGUGAGCCUGCCUACUUGGAAGGCUGAGGCAGGAGGAUCACAAGUUCCACACCAUCCUGAGCAACAUAGCAAGACCCUGUUUCAAAAAGGAAAAAGAGGGCAUAAGCGCUCAGUGGCAUAAGCGCUUGCCUGGCAAAUAUAAGGUCCUGAGUUCGAUUUCUGGUACCAAAAAUAAAAAUAAAAAAAAAAGCACUGAUCCA